GACGAACGCUGGCGGCGCGCUUAACACAUGCAAGUCGAGCGAGAACCAGGACUUCGGUCCUGGGGACAGCGGCGAACGGGUGAGUAACACGUGGGUAAUCUGCCCUCGAUUCUGGGAUAGCCCGGGGAAACUCGGAUUAAUACCGGAUAGCCUUUCAAGCUUUCGGGCGUGAAAGAAAAGGUAGCUUCGGCCUCCGAUCGAGGAUGAGCCCGCGGUGGAUUAGCUUGUUGGUGGGGUAAUGGCCCACCAAGGCGACGAUCCAUAGCUGGUCUGAGAGGACGAUCAGCCACACUGGGACUGAGACACGGCCCAGACUCCUACGGGAGGCAGCAGUGGGGAAUCUUGCGCAAUGGGCGAAAGCCUGACGCAGCGACGCCGCGUGGGGGAAGAAGGCCUUAGGGUUGUAAACCUCUUUCAGGUGGGACGAAGCCACUCGGGUUAAUAGCCCAGAGGGUGACGGUACCGCCAGAAGAAGCCCCGGCUAACUACGUGCCAGCCGCCGCUGUAAGAC
rnacentral:rRNA from 1 species